UCCGGUGGCGAUAGCGGCGGGGAUACACCCGUUCCCAUUCCGAACACGGAAGUUAAGCCCGUCAGCGCCGAUGGUACUGCCUGGGAAACUGGGUGGGAGAGUAGGACGCCGCCGGAU
rnacentral:rRNA from 1 species